rnacentral:rRNA from 1 species
UACGGAGGGUGCAAGCGUUGUUCGGAUUUACUGGGCGUAAAGCGCGCGCAGGUGGGUGAACAAGUCGGAAGUGAAAUCUUGAGGCUCAACCUCGAGGCUGCUCCCGAAACUGUUCGCCUAGGGACUGGUAGAGGCUGGUAGAAUUCCCGGUGUAGCGGUGGAAUGCGUAGAGAGUCGGGAAGAAUACCUGUGGCGAAGGCGGCCAGCUGGGCCAGAUCCGACACUGAGGCGCGAAAGCGUGGGGAGCAAACAGG